rnacentral:tRNA from 1 species
GCGAUAGCGGGGCGGGUCAGCCUCGCCUUUGCCGAGGGCGAGCCUCUUCCGGAACCGAGUUCUAUUUCCGAUAUUGCCCC